CAGAGGGUGCAAGCGUUGUUCGGAAUUAUUGGGCGUAAAGCGCGUGUAGCGGCUUAGCAAGUCGGGCGUGAAAGCCCUCGGCUCAACCGAGGAAGUGCACCCGAAACUGCUGAGCUUGAGUGCCGGAGAGGAUGGCGGAAUUCCCCAAGUAGAGGUGAAAUUCGUAGAUAUGGGGAGGAACACCGGUGGCGAAGGCGGCCAUCUGGACGGUAACUGACGCUGAGACGCGAAAGCGUGGGGAGCAAACAGGAUUAGAUACCCUGGUAGUCCACGCCGUAAACGAUGAGAACUAGAUGUCGCGGGUGUUGACCCCUGCGGUGUCGCAGCUAACGCAUUAAGUUCUCCGCCUGGGAAGUACGGUCGCAAGAUUA
rnacentral:rRNA from 1 species